rnacentral:rRNA from 1 species
GACUAUGGCCAUACCAUCCUGAACACGCCCGAUCUCAUCUGACCUUGGAAGCUAAGCAGGGUUAGGCCUGGUUAGUACUUGGAUGCGAGUUAACACAAGGGUGGAGAACCUCCAGAUGUUGCUGACU